rnacentral:lncRNA from 1 species
CGAGACCCAUGAACAGAUGAUGGAAUAAUUUGACAUAUGGAAAUUCAAAAACAUAGGCACUUCUAAUACUGGUAUAAAUUGAGUCAUAUAUAAAAUUUGGGCAUUUGCAUGAUUCGCUCGUAUCAUAUGGAUCAUGCUAAAAGAAAGAAGACAUAACCUUAACAUACUUAUCCCAGAACUUAUUUGAAAGAAUCUGCUUCUACAAAAUUUACAAACGAAAUUUUACUUUGAAUUUUUGUUGAAAUUAUAGAACCAUACUGUACGUUACCUUCUUCAAUUCCCAGAAUGUUGACGUUCUUGUCUUUGAAAUAUUUGAAGACGGCAUUUCAAAGUUUUGUGGGAAAGACUCGAGAAUGACUUUAAUGAUUUUUUGAAAUCACACUUGCAAUCUUGGCAAGAAAUGGACGAGAAUGCGUA